GAUGAACGCUGGCGGCGUGCUUAACACAUGCAAGUCGAACGAACAGGCUCCUGCUUGCCUCCGUACUCGUGUGGCGAACGGGGGAGGAAAACGUGGGUGAACUGCCCUGCACUUCGGGAUAAGCCUGGGGAACUCGGUCUAAAAUCGGGGAGAACGAUUGUAUCGAUACGAUUGAGGAAAGAAUUUUGGGUUUGGGAUGAGCUCGCGCCGUAUCAGCUUGUUGUUGGGGUAUUGGCAUACCAAGGCGUCGACGGGUAGCCGACCUGAGAGGGUGUUCGGCCACACGGGAACUGAGACAGGGGCCAUACGCCUACGGGAGGCAGCAGUAGGCAAUGUGCCGCAAUGGGCGAGAGCCUGACGGAGCAGCGGCGCGUGAGUGAUGAAGGUCCUGGGUUCGUAAAACUCUGUUAUUGGUGAAGAACAAAUGUGGAAGUAACUGUGCACGUCGUGACGGUACCUAAUCAGAAAGCCACGGCUAACUACGUG
rnacentral:rRNA from 1 species